GUUAGUGACUUUUUUAUGUUUUUGUCCGACAGUCCGAAAAGACUUAACACUGCGACUGCAGUUCAGGUUCUUUAACCACAGGAAAACGCCCCUAAUCAAGUGAAGAACGACGGCUGUCUCGGUUGGGUGCGACCAGCUCAUAAAAUCUGUAGUCGUGAUUACCCCGCAGGCGUCGGUUGGGAAAGCUUCCCAAAAAUUACCUGGUGGGAUAUCUUUAAGCAACAACCUUUGUUUCGUCACUUACCUGGAGCCGCCUUUGGUGUUUUCAGCUCUGACCGGGCCAGCUAUGCGUGUCUUCACAUUAAAAUGCUAAGUUUAUUAAGUUAUAUCAGACUUUAAUAAUUAGGUUCUUUAUGUGUCGUUAUUUUAUAGUAUUUAAAAGUUAUUUAUCAGGUUUACCUCUUCAAAGUGUUUGUUUAAACAUACGUAGUGCAAUAGACGUAUAUUAAUAUACAUUUUUAAUUAACAAUUCAGUUUAGGCUAGGGAAGAAUUUUAUUAUAUAAAAAAUGGUAAUUUUUCCGGGUACGUAGUUUAUCACUGCCAAAAAUGCUCGUCAAUAUUAUUUUUUGAUAAAAAAAACUAACGACACGACUAUUAUAAAUUAGUGUAAAAUUGUGAUAAACUUAAGAAUCAGAGUUUUUAUUUAGAGGUGAACUGCAAAUGUUGCAUAUAUGUAUAAUUUAAUAUUAAUAUAUAACCUAUUUUAUUAAUAUUUUAGUGAUUAUGAUUGAUGAUUUGUCUGUAAAUAUUGUUUGCAUUGUAUUGUAGUUAUUACAUGUCAGCUUCGUGCUAGGUUUAAGUCGAUGAAGCCUAUUGCAAUGCUUGACGGGAUAUAUGAAUUAAAAAAAAUAAUUAAUCGCAUUAAAUUUACAAUUUUAAUAGUAAUAAUAAAAGCCCGUAUUUUUCCAAUUUUUAUUAAUUUUAUUUUGUAAAUAAAGACAAAUUUAUGAGCGCAGGUUGCUCUCUUGGAUAAUAUUUUAACAUGUUGGUGAUGUCGGAUACCUAAAUAUGUGUUUUAUUAUUAUUUAUUCGCUAUUAAAAUGGAAACAUUUCAUAUGUCAUUCGAAUCACUUAAUCUUCUCACACGUAUUGAUUGUAAUAGAUAUUCUUAUUGUAAUUUACAUGAAAUACAAUAAAAAUAAAAUGUGA